UGAAUUAUUAUCCGAAUAAAAUUAAUUUUGGGAGUUGAAAGUUUGAUAGGAGAUAAAUUAUCUACCGUUUAUACCACAUUCCAAAGAAAUUAAGUAUGUUAAGAACCUCUACAUUUAUAUUACUGACCCGGUUUAUUUUGUUCCCUACAUAUUUUCGAGAAGUAUGACGACGAGAGUUUAAGUUCGGUAUGGCUGAAACUCGCAGCCCACGGAUCCAGAAAAGUGGAAGAGCUCUCUUACGGCACAAGGAAAAGUUUGGUGACCAUUUUAAUUCAUACAACUUUUCUCCUCCACUGCGGACAUUG
rnacentral:rRNA from 1 species